UUGUGGGGUUUUUUAAUAGCUUACACCGUAGAGGCCUCUGUAUAAAAAUGAUUUUUAAAAAUGCCAAAAUUCAUUGGAUUUGUUUGUAAUGUAUGUGAGGUCUGUUGCAGUGGUGAAUAUUUACUGCAUGCAGGAAGAACUUUUUCUGAUUGUUGCAAACAUCAGUUUUGAAUAACGUCUGAAAAAAUUUUGCUACAACUAUCUGCUGAAGAGAAUUACAGUGAAGACAACUAAACUAGUUGUCUCUACUAAUAAGUAGGUUUCCAUUCAAGAAAUAAAAAAUCAUCCUCAUAGCUAUUGGCAGUUUUCCAUUUGUACAAGUUUAAUUUCUGUCCUGGAUUCUGUUUAAGAAAUGGCACUUUUGUUCUUUACACAUACUGCUGUCAGGCUUGCUACAGAUGAAAGUGGAAGUUACUGAGGUGUGUUGGCUCGGUGAUGUGUGUCCAAAAACAUAAAAUAGAGGUUCUCUGGAAAUGCAGAUUUGCUGAAUCACCUUCUAGGCCUAAAACUGGAUCCCUCUUUUGAUUUUUUUAAAUUUUUUUUUUAAUUUACUUAUGAUUUUUGUUCCUAGAUCUUUUGUCUGUCUUGCGACCUGCUCUUAUAACAGGUAUGGAGUAGGCAACCUGCGAUGAGAUUGGUUUUCUUCAGCUGACUGAGAUUACUAAGCCACAGAAUGGUGCUGAGACUCUAGAUAUUACUCAUUUAAACUCAGUUUUGGGAGUCUGCACUCUUACAGGUUUGUGUCCUUCUCUUUUUUGCUGAAAUCCUGCUUCCAGAGUAAACCAAUCUUUCUCCCCCCAUCUUGGAUGUACCCGUCAGCACCACUUGCUGGCCAGGUGCUGUGAUGAAACAGCACAGAGCAGUGCCAAGUUCGGUCUUGCUGUCCUUCCAUGUCCCUCUUGCUCUCUAUAUUCAGCUCUUCAUUUUCGUCAUGAAGCUUACAGGAACCAUAGUAUCCCCAGAUUGUACCUGGCUUACAGGUGGGCCAAGAAGUUGAAAAUUGUUAAAAGCUGGGGGGAGGAGAAGACAGGCAAACUGACUGUAUGAUCACAGAAGCUAUGUUUCAUUAGGAAGAUGGGAAAAAUACAAAGCCAAAAAAGCCUUAAAAGAUUCUUAAGUAAGUGGAACAGUAAUUUCACUAGAAUGGAGAUAAAAUACAAUAAGGUACAGUAAAAACAAAAAAAAGUCUGAACAUACUAAUGUGGAGACAGAGUAGAAAGUUACAGUAAGAUGGUGUGUGACUUUUACUCUUUACAUACCUGUGUAAGAAGAAUGUUAUCAAAUAACAGUUGCGUUUCUGACUGAUCCUUGGCAAUAUCAGCAUUUGUGUUCAUUCCAAACACCUCCGGGGAAGGAUUCAGUGGAAUUGUCUUUGUAUAUUCGAUAUAGCUUUGGUACUGAAAAAAGAAAUAUUCUAGACUUAAAAGGAGAUGCAGAAACAGCCCAUGACAGGCUGCAAGCUGUGUCUCAAAACCACUACAGACUUCCCUAGUGUAACGAAUACAGUGUGUAAACUAAGAUAUAAAAGGAAAUACAGGGGCUGACUGUGCCUCAAAUUCCUUUGGUCCAUCCUCUUACCCUGAAAUCAGGAUUGGCUUUGCGUUAAUAAUUUCUGACAAAAUUUCUGACAGCUGUUGGAAAUUCUCUUACAAAGUAAGAUACCUAGUGCAAGGGGCUGCAGCCCCUUUCUGGGCGCACUGCUUGCCAAGUUUUGCUGAUGGGUAACAUAACUCUCCUGUGCGAUAAAUUAAGCUAAUGACUAUGUUCUUUCUACCUCCAGCAGACAUGAUCAACUAAUUCUCUUAUGCCUAUUUUAUAAAGCUUUUAACUUCAGCAGGCUGUGUUUCUCCCUUAUUGUCCCCAAGCAUGCUGACUCACACAGAGCAAGGUCAAUUUAAUUGGCAGUAGUUGGGGGUUUUUUUCACAUCAUUUCUGUUUCUUAGAAGUCACUGAAACAAGUCCUAAUAGAACGUGAGAUUAAGCCACAAAAGCAAGCAGUGACAGCAGUAAGCACUGAGGCACAUAUCGAUGUCAGGAAAGAUAGAUAGAUCUAUAUUUUAAAAAUAUAAGCUGUUGAGAAUUCUGUUGUUCUGGGAUACUUACAUCUCCUUCAGGAGGAGCAAAAUAAAGGCCACUUGGAUCAAAUUUGUAAUCUACAUUUGUAAUGAUUUCUGAGCAAAAGAACAUGUUCAGAAUACUACGGAGCGUACGCCGAUCCCAGUCAUCAGUGACUCUGCCACCAUAAUUACAUUCUCCAGUCAUAUAGCGAAGGGCAUCAUGUGGCACCUCCUGAAAAAAAGCAAGACAAUGAUCUGAACUGCAGUCUAGCACUUCUAUGGACAGCCAUAUUGGUAUCAUUGUAAUUUAUUUGCAAGUCAUCUAGAAUUCUUACUGGAAAGUUUAAAAGCUGUUAUUUACUUUUGCUAGUUCAUGCUUGUACCAUUGAUCUCCUGAUCUUCAAAUACUUUAAUAGUCAUCUAUCAAGUCACCCAGCACUGCUUCUUUUGAAGAAUAAUAGCACCAAAAAUUACCAUAGUAAUGCAGCUGGAACUCUCUGAGUACAAGUUCAUGGAAAACUUUUCCAAAAGUAUCUCUACUUGUUUGGCUAUACAUACUUAUAAAAUAAAUGUAUGCUGUCACAGGGGUA